rnacentral:rRNA from 1 species
UACGUAGGCAGCGAGCGUUGUUCGGAGUUACUGGGCGUAAAGGGUGUGUAGGCGGUUGUUUAAGUUUGGUGUGAAAUCUCCCGGCUCAACUGGGAGGGUGCGCCGAAUACUGAAUGACUUGGAGUGCGGGAGAGGAGAGUGGAAUUCCUGGUGUAGCGGUGAAAUGCGUAGAUAUCAGGAGGAACACCGGUGGCGAAGGCGGCGUCCUGGACCAAUACUGACACUGAGGAGCGAAAGCCAGGGGAGCAAACGGG